rnacentral:rRNA from 1 species
GACAGAGGGGCCAAGCGUUAGGCGGAAUCACUGGGCUUAAAGCGUGUGUAGGCGGAUGCCUAAGUACCUUGUGAAAUCCCACGGCUCAACCGUGGAACUGCUGGGUAUACUGGGUGUCUUGGGUCAUCUAGGGGCUGCCGGAACAAAUGGUGGAGCGGUGAAAUGCGUAGAUAUCAUUUGGAACGCCAACGGCGAAAGCAGGCAGCUGGGGAUGCACCGACGCUGAGACACGAAAGCCAGGGGAGCGAACGGG